rnacentral:rRNA from 3 species
UAAGCCUGCGAAGGUGGCCUGUGAGGGUUGCUGGAGGUAUCAGAAGUGCGAAUGCUGACAUAAGUAACGAUAAAGCGGGUGAAAAGCCCGCUCGCCGGAAGACCAAGGGUUCCUGUCCAACGUUAAUCGGGGCAGGGUGAGUCGACCCCUAAGGCGAGGCCGAAAGGCGUAGUCGAUGGGAAACGGGUUAAUAUUCCCGUACUUGGUGUUACUGCGAAGGGGGGACGGAGAAGGCUAUGUUGGCCGGGCGACGGUUGUCCCGGUUUAAGCGUGUAGGUGUGUGUUCCAGGUAAAUCCGGUUCACUUUAACACUGAGGCGUGACGACGAGGCACUACGGUGCUGAAGCAACAAAUGCCCUGCUUCCAGGAAAAGCCUCUAAGCAUCAGGUAACAUCAAAUCGUACCCCAAACCGACACAGGUGGUCAGGUAGAGAAUACCAAGGCGCUUGAGAGAACUCGGGUGAAGGAACUAGGCAAAAUGGUGCCGUAACUUCGGGAGAAGGCACGCUGACACGUAGGUGAAGUGAUUUACUCAUGGAGCUGAAGUCAGUCGAAGAUACCAGCUGGCUGCAACUGUUUAUUAAAAACACAGCACUGUGCAAACACGAAAGUGGACGUAUACGGUGUGACGCCUGCCCGGUGCCGGAAGGUUAAUUGAUGGGGUCAGCGCAAGCGAAGCUCCUGAUCGAAGCCCCGGUAAACGGCGGCCGUAACUAUAACGGUCCUAAGGUAGCGAAAUUCCUUGUCGGGUAAGUUCCGACCUGCACGAAUGGCGUAAUGAUGGCCAGGCUGUCUCCACCCGAGACUCAGUGAAAUUGAACUCGCUGUGAAGAUGCAGUGUACCCGCGGCAAGACGGAAAGACCCCGUGAACCUUUACUAUAGCUUGACACUGAACAUUGAGCCUUGAUGUGUAGGAUAGGUGGGAGGCUUUGAAGUGUGGACGCCAGUCUGCAUGGAGCCGGCCUUGAAAUACCACCCUUUAAUGUUUGAUGUUCUAACGUGGACCCGUGAUCCGGGUUGCGGACAGUGUCUGGUGGGUAGUUUGACUGGGGCGGUCUCCUCCUAAAGAGUAACGGAGGAGCACGAAGGUUGGCUAAUCCUGGUCGGACAUCAGGAGGUUAGUGCAAUGGCAUAAGCCAGCUUGACUGCGAGCGUGACGGCGCGAGCAGGUGCGAAAGCAGGUCAUAGUGAUCCGGUGGUUCUGAAUGGAAGGGCCAUCGCUCAACGGAUAAAAGGUACUCCGGGGAUAACAGGCUGAUACCGCCCAAGAGUUCAUAUCGACGGCGGUGUUUGGCACCUCGAUGUCGGCUCAUCACAUCCUGGGGCUGAAGUAGGUCCCAAGGGUAUGGCUGUUCGCCAUUUAAAGUGGUACGCGAGCUGGGUUUAGAACGUCGUGAGACAGUUCGGUCCCUAUCUGCCGUGGGCGCUGGAGAACUGAGGGGGGCUGCUCCUAGUACGAGAGGACCGGAGUGGACGCAUCACUGGUGUUCGGGUUGUCAUGCCAAUGGCACUGCCCGGUAGCUAAAUGCGGAAGAGAUAAGUGCUGAAAGCAUCUAAGCACGAAACUUGCCCCGA